rnacentral:rRNA from 1 species
GAUGAACGCUAGCUACAGGCUUAACACAUGCAAGUCGAGGGGAAACGAUAUUGGAAGCUUGCUUCCGAUAGGCGUCGACCGGCGCACGGGUGAGUAACGCGUAUCCAACCUGCCCACCACUUGGGGAUAACCUUGCGAAAGUAAGACUAAUACCCAAUGAUAUCUCUAGAAGACAUCUGAAGGAGAUUAAAGAUUCAUCGGUGAUGGAUGGGGAUGCGUCUGAUUAGCUUGUUGGCGGGGUAACGGCCCACCAAGGCGGCGAUCAGUAGGGGUCCUGAGAGGAAGGUCCCCCACAUUGGAACUGAGACACGGUCCAAACUCCUACGGGAGGCAGCAGUGAGGAAUAUUGGUCAAUGGGCGAGAGCCUGAACCAGCCAAGUAGCGUGCAGGAUGACGGCCCUAUGGGUUGUAAACUGCUUUUAUAAGGGAAUAAAGUGAGUCUCGUGAGACUUUUUGCAUGUACCUUAUGAAUAAGGACCGGCUAAUUCCGUGCCAGCCGCCGCCGUAA